rnacentral:rRNA from 1 species
AGCGUAGGCGGUUUUUUAAGUGGGGUGUGAAAUCCCUGGGCUUAACCCAGGAAUUGCAUUCCAUACUGGGAGACUAGAGUGCAGGAGAGGAAAGUGGAAUUCCAAGUGUAGCGGUGAAAUGCGUAGAGAUUUGGAGGAACACCAGUGGCGAAGGCGACUUUCUGGACUGUAACUGACGCUGAGGCUCGAGAGCGUGGGGAGCAAACAGGAUUAGAUACCCUGGUAGUCCACGCUGUAAACGAUGAAUACUAGGUGUAGGGGGCGAAGCCCUCUGUGCCGCAGUUAACACAUUAAGUAUUCCGCCUGGGGAGUACGAUCGCAAGAUUAAA